rnacentral:sRNA from 1 species
GGGGAACUGAAAACAAGCACAGGGAAGGGAGAGGAAAGAACACCGGAAGGGUAGGGAACAGGGGCAAGUCCUAACAACAGGCCCUGUCCCUAACCCAUGUGACCCUGAAAGAACCAGCCCCAGGAUGAACUCAGCUCAGAGAGACAACAGACAACAGAACUGACCCGGCUGGACCAUCAGGGCAGUGCUGGAGCCCAAGCUCUUUUCCACAGAGAGAGGACAGAGCCAAACAACAGAUCAUGGAGCCCCCCUCAGCCCAUCCCCCAAUGUGUGUCCCCUGGCAGGGGCUCCUGCUUGCAGCCUCACUGCUAACCAUCUGGAACUUCCCCGCCACCGCGACGCCUACUGCUGAGUCGGUGCCACCCGCAGUUCUCGAAGGGCAGAGCGUUCUUCUUCUUGCUCACAACCUGCCAGACAACCUACUAGCCUAUCACUGGUACAAGGGAAAACGGUCGAUAGACAAAGAUCUAAUUAUAAUGUAUGAAAUAAAAUCUCAAGAAACUAAACAAGGGAAGCUGUACAGCGGCAAAGAGACUCUGUACCCUAAUGGAUCCUUGAUGUUACAGAACGUCACCUUGAAGCAAUCUGGAAUCUACCACCUAAAUAUCCAUUCUGCAGAUAACCAAAAGUCAGUGUUUGUGGAAGUCUUUGUGUACCCUCUGUUAAGCAAGCCCACCAUACGAAGCAACAGGACCACUGCUGUUGAGGGCCGAGACACCGUCGAGCUGACUUGUGACCCUCUCUUCCGGAAAACAACCUACCUGUGGCAUCUGAAUGGGUCUCUAGGCAUUUCAGAGGACGCUAUGAAUGUGAAGCCAAGAACCCACUGGGUGCCUUCCAUAGUGAUCCAUUCACUCUGGAUGUUUUCUAUGGCCCAGAUACCCCCGAAAUAUUUCCCCCGCACAAAUACUUUGAGGAAGGCAGGAGCAUGUGGCUCUCCUGCCAAGCAGUGUCUCACCCCAAAGCACACUAUUCCUGGAAUGUCAAUGGAGAGCCCUGGAACGCUAGACAAGAGCUGUCUAUCCACCAGGUCAGCAUAAGUAAUAAUGGACUUUAUACCUGCCUCGUCAACAACGCAGCAACUGGCCGCAAUAAUUCCAAGGUCAAGGAAGUUAUAAUAGUGGAGAAGUUGCCAAAGCCCCACAUCCAAGUCAAAAAUGAAACAGUCUUAGAACAUCAUUUUGUGGACCUGACCUGCAUAUCAGAAAACACUGGAGUUUCCAUCUGGUGGACGUUCAACAAUCAGAAGCUGAAGGCCACAGACAGGAUGACGUUCUCCUGGAACAACAGAAGGCUCACCAUAGACCCUGUCACAAAGGAGGAUGCCGGGGCAUACCAGUGUGAGGUCUCCAACCCCCUCAACACCAGGCUGAGUGAUCCAGUCAAGCUGGCUGUGCUCUAUCAACCGUCAAAAAGUCCCCUGUUGUCACCCACGAUAGUGGCUAGCUUGGUUGCUGAAGUUCUGGCCGGGCUGGCUAUCCUGGGAGGCCUGGCAUAUUUCGUGUUUUUCAAGAAACUUGACAAGGCUUAGAACAAAAGAUUCCUUUGUAUUUCUCUGUCUCCCAGUCCGGAAAGCCACGAAGGAGUACACAGGCAGGAACGAAAGAACUGGAAGAGAGCAAAAAGAAAGCGCAGAAAGAGCAAGAAGUAAGAGCAUUCACAGUGAGGACAAGCCAACACUGUCCACCCAAGGUCACAGGCCCCAUGACAGCUAUCCUCACGAGACAAGUAUUGCCUGUCUCCCCUCAGAUGGCUCUGCAGGACCUGUGGACUCUUGGAACCACAACUGUGCCAUCAAGUGUGUGUCCUUAGUUCCUCAUGCAACCGACAAGGAGCUUCACCUCUCCGUCCUUAGCCUGCUCACCUACACUGCCCACUACCAAAGGGGCCAAGGGGUGUGACAACUAGCACCUAUGUAGCUCCCAGCACAGACCCAAACAAGGAAGGGACCCUUC